UGGCGGACGGGUGAGUAACGCGUAAAGAACUUGCCCUUUAGACUGGGAUAACAGAGGGAAACUUCUGAUAAUACUGGAUAAGUUAGUAUAUCGCAUGAUAUGCAAAAUGAAAGCUACGGCACUAAAGGAGAGCUUUGCGUCCUAUUAGCUAGUUGGUAAGGUAAGAGCUUACCAAGGCGAUGAUAGGUAGCCGGCCUGAGAGGGUGGACGGCCACAAGGGGACUGAGAUACGGCCCUUACUCCUACGGGAGGCAGCAGCU
rnacentral:rRNA from 1 species